CGUAGGAGACUUGCGGAAGGCUGUCCCUAGUACGAGAGGACCGGGACGGACGAACCUCUGGUGUGCCAGUUGUUCUGCCAAGGGCACGGCUGGUUGGCUAUGUUCGGGAGGGAUAACCGCUGAAAGCAUCUAAGCGGGAAGCCUGUUCCUAGAUGAGGUCUCCCACCCCUUUGUGGGGUAAGGCUCCCGGUAGAUGACCGGGUUGACAGGCCGGAUGUGGAAGCGCAGUAAUGUGUGGAGCUGACCGGUGCUGAUAGGCCGAGGACUUGCUCAC
rnacentral:rRNA from 1 species